rnacentral:rRNA from 1 species
CACGUAGGGCGCAAGCGUUGUCCGGAAUUAUUGGGCGUAAAGAGCUCGUGAGCGGUCUGUUGCGUCCGCUGUGAAAACUCGGGGCUUAACCCCGAGCCUGCAGUGGAUACGGGCAGACUAGAGGUAGGUAGGGGAGAAUGGAAUUCCCGGUGUAGCGGUGAAAUGCGCAGAUAUCGGGAGGAACACCGGUGGCGAAGGCGGUUCUCUGGGCCUUACCUGACGCUGAGGAGCGAAAGCGUGGGGAGCGAACAGG